rnacentral:lncRNA from 1 species
UUUGAACAUACAAGGUUGAACAUGAAGGGAACACUAAAUUGUGAGUUCCUGAGGACAUGACCCUUUCAAUAUAAAUGAAAAGGGACUGAUACAGGCAGACCUAGGUUUCCAUCCCAGUUCUGACCCCAUGCUGUAAGUAUGGCCCUGUGCAAGUUAUGUCAUGUUGCUGAGCCUUGGUUUCCAUAACUACAUACCAACAACAAUAAAUACCACACAGUGGGUGUCACAGAAGUAGAGUUGUUGUGUGUAAAGCAACUAACACAGUCCUGGCACUCAGGCGGCUCUUAAUAGAUGGUAUGAAAAGGGUGUCUUUUCCCUCUGCCUCACCCCUCUCAAUAGUACAAAUAAAACCCCCCACAAGAUUAAAGAAGAGAGUUAAAGCAAGAAUCCUCAUGACAAGGGGUGGCUACUCUGGCAUUUUCAAGUCUUGAGGUUGCUGUUUUCCAGGGGGUGAUGUGAUAUGACCCUAGCCAACAUGUAGAGCUGGUUUUGUGGACUGUGCCUGUGUGCUUGUGAGAAAGCAGAGCGACAGAGGGAGGCAGAGUUAGAGCUAGUUGCAGAAGGAAAGUGCAAUUUCUGAAGUUUGUUCAGAGCCCCAGAGGCAGGAUGGCUAAGGGCCUUCUGGGGUCCUCCUACUGCUGUUGCUGUACUCAGCCUUGCCUGGGACAUGUGUACAUCCCCCAAAGAACUGCUGUGCCAUCGUGAACCAACAAAGAGAGGGGAGGAGAACACCUCCUAGCAGGGGCAGACCUGCCUGACUUGGAUAUCAGCUUCUCCAUGAAAAUAUGCAGUGCCUAAAAUUUACACUGAUCGAUUUGUUCACGAGAAAGGACAUUUCUAAAAGAGCCAGGAGACUGCCCCCAGAACCAAGAGGAGUACUGGAGAGCAGAAGAUGAAGAAAAACCUUUAAACAGCAGAGCAGUGAAGUGGAGGGAGAGGCGGCCCCUCUCCUUUGCCAGAGACUCCCACUCCCAGAUGCAGGCUGGAGCGAUCCCUCAUAAUUUAAGCUGACACCCCUCAGCGGAGAUGAAAGGAACACCACUCGCUGCUCUCCAACAACAAAUGUCAGCAUCCCUGGAGGCCGUUUAGACACAAACGCAGCAUAAAUCUGACUCCUAGUGGGGAAGUCCAGAGAUUAAGUCUCCACACACAGCCUACCAGAGUGAAAUGAAUUUGC